UACGUAGGGGGCAAGCGUUGUCCGGAUUUAUUGGGCGUAAAGCGCGUGUAGGCGGCUAGGUAGGUCCGCUGUGAAAACUUGAGGCUCAACCUCAAGAGGUCGGUGGAAACCAUCUAGCUAGAGUCCGGAAGAGGAGACUGGAAUUCCUGGUGUAGCGGUGAAAUGCGCAGAUAUCAGGAGGAACACCAAUGGCGAAGGCAGCACUCUGGGACGGUACUGACACUGAGACGCGAAAGCGUGGGGAGCGAACAGG
rnacentral:rRNA from 1 species